CCCCCCAGCGGAAAAAUGUCCAAAAAACGGGUGGGCUAUAGCCUUGGUGGGGGGCGCGGGCGAAGUUCGUCCGCCGGACUCGGAAUGCGGCGAGACUUUGGGAGGGGCCUCGGGGUACCAAAAAUAAGCCGCGGGCAAAGCCGCCCCCAAAAAUAAGCGCACGAAGGUCGUGGUGCCAAAACCCCCCAGCGGAAAAAUGGCCAAAAAACGGGUGGGCUAUAGCCUUGGUGGGGGGCGCGGGCGAAGUUCUCCGCCGGACUCGGACAUGGGGCGAGACUUUGCGAGGGGCCUCGUGGCGCCAAAAAUAAGCCGCGGGCAAAGCCGCGCCCAAAAAUAAGCGCCCGAAGGUGGUGGUGCCAAAACCCCCCAGCGGAAAAAUGGCCAAAAAACGGGUGGUCUAUAGCCUUGGUGGGGGGCGCGGGCGAAGUUCGUCCGCCGGACUCGGAAUGGGGCGAGACUUUGCGAGGGGCCUCGGGGUGCUAAAAAUAAGCAGCGGGCAAACCCGCGCCCAAAAAUAAGCGCCCGAAGGUCGUGGUGCCAAAACCGCCCAGCGGAGAAAUGGCCAAAAAACGGGUCGUGGGCUAUAGCCUAGGUGGGGGGCGCUGGCGAAGUUCGUCUGCCGGACUCAGAAUGGGGCGAGACUUUGCGAGGGGCCUCGUGGUGCCAAAAAUAAGCCGCGGGCAAACCCGCGCCCAAAAAUAAGCGCCCGAAGGUCGUGGUGCCAACACCCCCAAGCGGAAAAAUGGCCAAAAAACGGGUGGGCUAUACCCUUGGUGGGGGGCGCGGGCGAAGUUCGUCCGCCGCACUCGGAAUGGGGCGAGACUUUGCGAGGGGCCUCGGGGUGCCAAAAAUAAGCCGCGGGCAAAGCCGCGCCCAAAAACAAGCGCCCGAAGGUCGUGGUGCCAAAACCCCCCAGCGGAAAAAUGGCUAAAAAACGGGUGGGCUAUAGCCUUGGUGGGGGGCGCGGGCGAAGUUCGUCCGCCGGACUCGGAAUGGGGCGAGACUUUGCGAGGGGCAUCGGGCUGCAAAAAAUAAGCCGCGGGCAAAGCCGCGCCCAAAAAUAGGCGCCCGAAGGUCGUGGUGCCAAAACCCCCCAGCGGAAAAAUGGCCAAAAAACGGGUGGGCUAGAGCUUUGGUGGGGGGUGCGGGCGAAGUUCGUUCGCCGGACUCGGAAUGGGGCGAGACUUUGCGAGGGGCCUCGGGGUGCCAAAAAUAAGCCGCAGGCCAAGCCGCGCCCAAAAAUAAGCGCCCGAAGGUCGUGGUGCCAAAACCCCCCAGCGGAAAAAUGGCCAAAAAACGGGUGGGCUAUAGCCUUGGUGGGGGGCGCGGGCGAAGUUCGUCCGCCGGACUCGGAAUGGGGCGAGACUUUGCGAGGGGCCUCGGGGUGCCCGCGGAAAGUCGCGGGCAAAGCCGCGUCCAAAAAUAAGCGCCCGAAGGUCGUGGUGCCAAAACCCCCCAGCGGAAAAAUGGCCAAAAAAUGGGUGGGCUAUAGCCUUGGUGGGGGGCGCGGGCGAAGUUCGUCCGCCGGACUCGGAAUGGGGCGAGACUUUGCGAGGGGCCUCGAGGUGCCCGCGGGUAGUCGCGGGCACAGCUGCGCCCAAAAAUAAGCGCCCGAAGGUCGUGGUGCCAAAACCCCCCAGCGGAAAAAUGGCCAGAAAACGGGUGGGCUAUAGCCUUGGUGGGGGGCGCGGGCGAAGUUCGUCCGCCGGACUCGGAAUGGGGCGAGACUUUGCGAGGGGCCUCGGGGUGCCCGCGGGAAGUCGCGGGCACAGCCGCGUCCAGAAAUACGCGCCCGAAGGUCGUGGUGCCAAAACCCCCUAGCGGAAGAAUGGCCAAAAAACGGGUGGGCUAUAGCCAUGGUGGGGGGCGCGGGCGAAGUUCGUCCGCCAGACUCGGAAUGGGGCGAGAAUUUGCGAGGGGCCUCGGGGUGCAAAAAUAAGCCGCGGGCAAAGCCCCGCCCAAAAUAAACGACCGAGGUUGUGUUGGCAAACCCCCCAGCAAAAAAAUGGCCAAAAAACGGGUGGGCUAUAGCCUUGGUGGGGGGCGCGGGCGAAGUUCGUCCGCCGGACUCGAAAUGGGGCGAGACUUUGCGAGGGUCCUCGGGGCACAAAAAAUAAGCCGCGGGCAAAGCCGCGCCCAAAAAUAAGCGCCCAAAGUUCGUGGUGCCAAAACCCCCCAGCGGAAAAAUGGCCAAAAAACGGGUGGGCUAUAGCCUUGGUGGGGGGCGCGGGCGAAGUUCGUCCGCCGGACUCGGAAUGGGGCGAGACUUUGCGAGGGGCCUCGGGGUGCCCGCGGGAAGUCGCGGGCACAGCCGUGCCCAAAAAUAAGCGCCCGAAGGUCGUGGUGCCAAAACCCCCCAGCGGAAAAAUGGCCAAAAAACGGGUGGGCUAUAGCCUUGGUGGGGGGCGUGGGCGAAGUUCGUCCGCCGGACUUGGAAUGGGGCGAGACUUUGCGAGGGGCCUCGGGGUGCCCGCGGGAAGUCGCGGGCACAGCCGCGUCCAGAAAUAAGCGCCCGAAGGUCGUGGUGCCAAAACCCCCUAGCGGAAAAAUGGCCAAAAAACGGGUGGGCUAUAGCCUUGGUGGGGGGCGCGGGCGAAGUUCGUCCGCCGGACUCGGAAUGGGGCGAGACUUUGCGCGGGGCCUCGGGGCGCCAAAAAUAAGCCGCGGGCAAAGCCGCGUCCAAAAAUAAGCGCCCGAAGGUCGUGGUGCCAAAACCCCCCAGCGGAAAAAUGGCCAAAAAACGGGUGGGCUAUAGCCUUGGUGGGGGGCGCGGGCGAAGUUCGUCCGCCGGACUCGGAAUGGGGCGAGACUUUGCGAGGGGCCUCGGGGCACCAAAAAUAAGCCGCGGGCAAAGCCGCACCCAAAAAUAAGCGCCCGAAGGUCGUGGUGCCAAAAACCCCCUGCGGAAAAAUGGCCAAAAAACGGGUGGGCUAUAGCCUUGGUGGCGUGCGCGGGCGAAGUUCGUCCGCCGGACUCGGAAUGGGGCGAGACUUUGCGAGGGGCCUCGGGGUGCCAAUAAUAAGCCGCGGGCAAGGCCGCGCCCAAAAAUAAGCGCCCGAAGGUCGUGGUGCCAAAACCCCCCAGCGGAAAAAUGGCCAAAAAACGGGUGGGCUAUAGCCUUGGUGGGGGGCGCGGGCGAAGUUCGUCCGCCGGACUUGGAAUGGGGCGAGACUUUGCGAGGGGCCUCGGGGUACCCGCGGGAAGUCGCGGGCACAGCCGCGUCCAGAAAUAAGCGCCCGAAGGUCGUGGUGCCAAAACCCCCCAGCGGAAAAAUGGCCAAAAAACGGGUGGCCUAUAGCCUUGGUGGGGGGCGCGGGCGAAGUUCGUCCGCCGGACUUGGAAUGGGGCGAGACUUUGCGAGGGGCCUCGGGGUACCCGCGGGAAGUCGCGGGCACAGCCGCGUCCAGAAAUAAGCGCCCGAAGGUCGUGGUGCCAAAACCCCCCAGCGGAAAAAUGGCCAAAAAACGGGUGGCCUAUAGCCUUGGUGGGGGGCGCGGGCGAAGUUCGUCCGCCGGACUCGGAAUGGGGCGAGACUUUGCGCGGGGCCUCGGGGCGCCAAAAAUAAGCCGCGGGCAAAGCCGCGCCCAAAAAUAAGCGCCCGAAGGUCGUGGUGCCAAAACCCCCCAGCGGAAAAAUGGCCAAAAAACGGGUGGGCUAUAGCCUUGGUGGGGGGCGCGGGCGAAGUUCGUCCGCCGGAUUCGGAAUGGGGCGAGACUUUGCGAGGGGCCUCGGGGCACCAAAAAUAAGCCGCGGUCAAAGCCGCACCCAAAAAUAAGCGCCCGAAGGUCGUGGUGCCAAAAACCCCCUGCGGAAAAAUGGCCAAAAAACGGGUGGGCUAUAGCCUUGGUGGCGGGCGCGGGCGAAGUUCGUCCGCCGGACUCGGAAAUGGGCGAGACUUUGCGAGGGGCCUCGGGGUGCCAAAAUAAGCCGCGGGCAAGGCCGCGCCCAAAAUAAGCGCCCGAAAGUCGUGGUGCCCAAACCCCCAGCGGAAAAAUGGCCAAAUAUGGGUGGGCUAUAGCCUUGGUGGGGGGCGCGGGCGAAGUUCGUCCGCCGGACUCGGAAUGGGGCGAGACUUUGCGCGGGGUCUCGGGGCGCCAAAAAUAAGCCGCGGGCAAAGCCGCACCCAAAAGUAAGCGCCCGAAGGUCGUGGUGCCAAAACCCCCCAGCGGAAAAAUGGCCAAAAAACGGGUGGGCUAUAGCCUUGGUGGGGGGCGCGGGCGAAGUUCGUCCGCCGGACUCAAGGUAUGUUCGCACGCGAGACUUUGCGAGGAGCCUCGGGGCACCAAAAAUAAGCCGCGGGCAAAGCCGCGCCCAAAAAUAAGCGCCCGAAGGUCGUGGUGCCAAAAACCCCCUGCGGAAAAAUGGCCAAAAAACGGGUGGGCUAUAGCCUUGGUGGGGGGCGCGGGCGAAGUUCGUCUGCCGGACUCGGAAUGGGGCGAGACUUUGCGAGGGGCCUCGGGGUGCCAAAAAUAAGCCGCGGGCAAGGCCGUGCCCAAAAAUAAGCGCCCGAAGGUCGUGGUGCCAAAACCCCCCAGCGGAAAAAUGGCCAAAAAACGGGUGGGCUAUACCCUUGGUGGGGGGCGCGGGCGAAGUUCGUCCGCCGGACUCGGAAUGGGGCGAGACUUUGCGCGCGGCCUCGGAGCGACAAAAAUAAGCCGCGGGCAAAGCCGCGCCCAAAAAUAAGCGCCCGAAGGUCGUGGUGCCAAAACCCCCCAGCGGAAAAAUGGCCAAAAAACGGGUGGGCUAUAGCCUUGGUGGGGGGCGCGGGCGAAGUUCGUCCGCCGGACUCGGAAUGGGGCGAGACUUUGCGCGGGGCCUCGGGGCGCCAAAAAUAAGCCGCGGGCAAAGCCGCGCCCAAAAAUAAGCGCCCGAAGGUCGUGGUGCCAAAACCCCCCAGCGGAAAAAUGGCCAAAAAACGGGUGGGCUAUAGCCUUGGUGGGGGGCGCGGGCGAAGUUCGUCCGCCGGAUUCGGAAUGGGGCGAGACUUUGCGAGGGGCCUCGGGGCACCAAAAAUAAGCUGCGGGCAAAGCCGCACCCAAAAAUAAGCGCCCGAAGGUCGUGGUGCCAAAACCCCCCAGCGGAAAAAUGGCCAAAAAACGGGUGGGCUAUAGCCUUGGUGGGGGGCGCGGGCGAAGUUCGUCCGCCGGAUUCGGAAUGGGGCGAGACUUUGCGAGGGGCCUCGGGGCACCAAAAAUAAGCCGCGGGCAAAGCCGCACCCAAAAAUAAGCGCCCGAAGGUCGUGGUGCCAAAAACCCCCUGCGGAAAAAUGGCCAAAAAACGGGUGGGCUAUAGCCUUGGUGGGGGGCGCGGGCGAAGUUCGUCUGCCGGACUCGGAAUGGGGCGAGACUUUGCGAGGGGCCUCGGGGAGCCAAAAAUAAGCCGCGGGCAAGGCCGCGCCCAAAAAUAAGCGCCCGAAGGUCGUGGUGCCAAAACCCCCCAGCGGAAAAAUUGCCAAAAAACGGGUGGGCUAUAGCCUUGGUGGGGGGCGCGGGCGAAGUUCGUCCGCCGGACUCGGAAUGGGGCGAGACUUUGCGAGGGGCCUCGGGGUGCCCGCGGGAAGUCGCGGGCACAGCCGCGCCCAAAAAUAAGCGCCCGAAGGUCGUGGUGCCAAAACCCCCCAGCGGAAAAAUGGCCAAAAAACGGGUGGGCUAUAGCCCUGGUGGGGGGCGCGGGCGAUGUUCGUCCGCCGGACUCGGAAUGGGGCGAGACUUUGCGAGGGGCCUCGGGGCACCAAAAAUAAGCCGCGGGCAAAGCCGUGCCCAAAAAUAAGCACCCGAAGGUCGUGGUCCCAAAACCCCCCAGCGGAAAAAUGGCCAAAAAACGGGUGGGCUAUAGCCUUGGUUGGGGGCGCGGGUGAAGUUCGUCCGCCGGACUCGGAAUGGGGCGAGACUUUGCUCGGGGCCUCGGGGCACCAAAAAUAAACCGCGGGCAAAGCCGCGCCCAAAAAUAAGCGCCCGAAGGUCGUGGUGCCAAAACCCCCCAGCGGAAAAAUGGCCAAAAAACGGGUGGGCUAUAGCCUUGGUGGGGGGCGCGGGCGAAGUUCGUCCGCCGGACUCGGAAUGGGGCGAGACUUUGCGAGGGGCCUCGGGGCACCAAAAAUAAGCCGCGGGCAAAGCCGUGCCCAAAAAUAAGCGCCCGAAGGUCGUGGUCCCAAAACCCCCCAGCGGAAAAAUGGCCAAAAAACGGGUGGGCUAUAGCCUUGGUGGGGGGCGCGGGUGAAGUUCGUCCGCCGGACUCGGAAUGGGGCGAGACUUUGCUCGGGGCCUCGGGGCACCAAAAAUAAACCGCGGGCAAAGCCGCGCCCAAAAAUAAGCGCCCGAAGGUCGUGGUGCCAAAACCCCCCAGCGGAAAAAUGGCCAAAAAACGGGUGGGCUAUAGCCUUGGUGGGGGGCGCGGGCGAAGUUCGUCCGCCGGACUCGGAAUGGGGCGAGACUUUGCGAGGGGCCUCGGGGCACCAAAAAUAAGCCGCGGGCAAAGCCGUGCCCAAAAAUAAGCGCCCGAAGGUCGUGGUCCCAAAACCCCCCAGCGGAAAAAUGGCCAAAAAACGGGUAGGCUAUAGCCUUGGUGGGGGGCGCGGGUGAAGUUCGUCCGCCGGACUCGGAAUGGGGCGAGACUUUGCUCGGGGCCUCGGGGCGCCAAAAAUAAGCCGCGGGCAAAGCCGCGCCCAAAAAUAAGCGCCCGAAGGUCGUGGUACCAAAACCCCCCAGCAGAAAAAUGGCCAAAAAACGGGUGGGCUAUAGCCUUGGUGGGGGGCGCGGGCGAAGUUCGUCCGCCGGACUCGGAAUGGGGCGAGACUUUGCGAGGGGCCUCGGGGUGCCCGCGGGAAGUCGCGGGCACAGCCGCGUCCAAAAAUAAGCGCCCGAAGGUCGUGGUGCCAAAACCCCCCAGCGGAAAAAUGGCCAAAAAACGGGUGGGCUAUAGCCUUGGUGGGGGGCGCGGGCGAAGUUCGUCCGCCGGACUCGGAAUGGGGUGAGACUUUGCGAGGGGCCUCGGGGUGCCAAAAAUAAGCCGCGGGCAAGGCCGCGCCCAAAAAUAAGCGCCCGAAGGUCGUGGUGCCAAAACCCCCCAGCGGAAAAAUGGCCAAAAAACGGGUGGGCUAUAGCCUUGGUGGGGGGCGCGGGCGAAGUUCGUCCGCCGGACUCGGAAUGGCU
rnacentral:lncRNA from 1 species